rnacentral:ribozyme from 1 species
GAAGGAAGGAAAGAAAGAAAGAAAGAAAGAAGCGUGUUGGGAAAAGUUAGUGGGAAAAGUUAGUGGGGCUUCUCACUCAAUCACUUUUCUCUAUCACUUUGCUCCUUCUCUUGGUCCACUCCU